UGGGAAUUUUGGACGAAUUGGGCGAAAGCCUGAUCCAGCAAUGCCGCGUGUGUGAAGAAGGCCUUCGGGUUGUAAAGCACUUUUGUCCGGAAAGAAAUCCUUGGCUCUAAUACAGUCGGGGGAUGACGGUACCGGAAGAAUAAGCACCGGCUAACUACGUGCCAGCAGCCGCGGUAAUACGUAGGGUGCAAGCGUUAAUCGGAAUUACUGGGCGUAAAGCGUGCGCAGGCGGUUUGCUAAGACCGAUGUGAAAUCCCCGGGCUCAACCUGGGAACUGCAUUGGUGACUGGCAGGCUAGAGUAUGGCAGAGGGGGGUAGAAUUCCACGUGUAGCAGUGAAAUGCGUAGAGAUGUGGAGGAAUACCGAUGGCGAAGGCAGCCCCCUGGCAAGUACUGACGCUCAUGCACG
rnacentral:rRNA from 1 species